AAACUUCGGAGUUAAUUUCCGGCUUUGUUGACGUAUAUAAAAGCCAUCGCUGGCUAAGAGUAAUCACCUCUCCAUUCUCCAAACAUGAACAAGCUACUCAUCGUUCUUCUUUUGGUCAGCUGCCUGUCCAUGACAUUGCUGCCAGCUACUGUUGAAGCCCAGAUAAAUCGCCCCUCCUGCGAGUGCCGAUACCGUUGUUACGGGGGUGAGAUCGAAAGCGGCCGCUGUGGCGGUAGGUACAGCACCAGAGUCAACUGUUGCCGGCGGAGAAGAGGAAGCGGUGGAUAUUAGGGACUAGAGGCUAAUGAGACAAUGCAUGACGGAACGAAAUCACCAUUAAACAUAUUUCUUCACGAUAUAUGUUUUGUUUGUUGUGUAAAUAAAGUGUCAUUGAAAUAA